rnacentral:lncRNA from 1 species
AUGACCCGCACAUGGCGUGGUGGCCACGCUGGCCCUCUCCAUCCCUUGGCCACAGAGUUGCGGUGCCAAGUGGCAGCAUCCCACGCCGCCACCCACGCGAUGGGCUCGUGUUGGGCGACCGUCGCAUGUCACAUCCCUUUGGGGGACACCACCGAGGCACGUCCCUCAGCCACCCCUCGGCUGUGCCGCUGCUGGAGAACCCCGCGGGGACCGGAGCUGGAGGCUGCCCUGACCUCAGGCAACCUUCCCGAGCCCCGGCGGGCCGGGUCAGGGCUGCCCAUCGCCCUGGCGAGGCUCAGCACCCUCCGCACGGUGCCCGGGGAGCUGCCCGGGCAGGGAGCUCUGCCCGGCCGAGGCGCUGCGCGGAUGCUCCGGCGCCGCCCUGGCACCCACCUGUGGGUGCAGAAGAGCCGGGGAGGCCUCCGGGAGGGGGAUCCUCCCUGCAACCCCCGCCCCGGGCUGGGCAAACCCCGGUACGGCCGGCCCUGCGGCUGGAGGGUGCCCCCCUCCUUCCCCCUCUCCAUCCUCCUCCUCCUCCUCCUCCUGCUGGCAGGAGCCCUGCCCUCCCCUGGGGGGAUGCGGCGGGGAGUUCCCCCUCCCUGCUCGGCGCUCGGGGUCCCCCCGCCCCUCCGGCCGGUCCCCACGGAGCAUCCCCCCGCCCCGGCGCUCGCACACGGGGCCGGUGACAGGCGGCAGCCGGACACACGGACGCACGGACAGACGGACGGGCACGGGCAGGGCUCUCCAUCCUCGGCGGGGCUCGGCGCGUGUGGGCAGAGCCGUGCAGGAGGGAGGAUGCCCGGGGCAGGGCUGCAUGCAGGGGGAGCGUGCAGAGGGGCUGCGGGAGGAAGAGAGGGUGGGCAAAGCGGGGUCCGCCGGGGGAGCGAGGCUGGGCUGGGCACCGGGCGAGGGAGGGGGCGAUGGGGGCGCGUCCCCCCCACCCCCCCCCCCCAUCCGCGGCAGCCCCUGGCCGGGGCGCGGGGUACUCACGGGCCGGGCAUCCGCGCCGCCGCCGCCGCCCCCGGCCGCCGCCGCUGCGCUGCCGCCGGGCUGGGCACCGGAGGGAGAGGGAGCGGCAGCGGGAGCCGAGCGGCGGCGGCGGCACUGCGCAGGCUCCGGCCCGGCCCCGCCGGCCACUUCCGAAAGCGAUUGCAGCCCUGGCACUUCCUCACGGCACACACACGCACG